rnacentral:rRNA from 1 species
AGCAGCCGCGGUAAUUCCAGCUCCAAUAGCGUAUAUUAAAGUUGUUGACAGUUAAAAAGCUCGUAGUUGAAUUUCGGAGUUUGUCGGUUGGUCGGGCUUCACUGUUCGCACUGGCCUGAUGGACUCCUACCUUCUGAAUAACCAGCAUGCUAUUAAUUUAGUGCGUUGGGGGAAGCAAGAGCUAUUACCUUGAAAAAAAUUAGAGUGCUUAAAGCAGGCUUACGCUUGAAUAGAUUAGCAUGGAAUAAUAAAAUAGGACGGCGUGGUUCUAUUUUGUUGGUUUCUAGGAUCACCGUAAUGAUUAAUAGGGAUAGUUGGGGGCAUUAGUAUUCAAUUGUCAGAGGUGAAAUUCUUGGAUCUAUUGAAGACUAACUUCUGCGAAAGCAUUUUGCCAAGGAUGUUUUCAUUAAUCAAGAACGAAAGUUAGGGGAUCGAAGACGAUCAGAUACCGUCGUAG